GAUGAACGCUGGCGGCGUGCCUAAUACAUGCAAGUCGAGCGAACAGACGAGGAGCUUGCUCCUCUGACGUUAGCGGCGGACGGGUGAGUAACACGUGGAUAACCUACCUAUAAGACUGGGAUAACUUCGGGAAACCGGAGCUAAUACCGGAUAAUAUAUUGAACCGCAUGGUUCAAUAGUGAAAGACGGUUUUGCUGUCACUUAUAGAUGGAUCCGCGCCGCAUUAGCUAGUUGGUAAGGUAACGGCUUACCAAGGCGACGAUGCGUAGCCGACCUGAGAGGGUGAUCGGCCACACUGGAACUGAGACACGGUCCAGACUCCUACGGGAGGCAGCAGUAGGGAAUCUUCCGCAAUGGGCGAAAGCCUGACGGAGCAACGCCGCGGGAGUGAUGAAGGUCUUCGGAUCGUAAAACUCUGUUAUUAGGGAAGAACAAAUGUGUAAGUAACGAUGCACGUCUUGACGGUACCUAAUCAGAAAGCCACGGCUAACUACGU
rnacentral:rRNA from 1 species